rnacentral:rRNA from 1 species
GAUUGGAUUAGGCAUGCAAGUCGAACGAGAUCCUGAGCAUCCAAGUAGCAAUAUGAGGAUGUUCAGGUGACAGUGGCGAAAGGGUGAGUAACGCGCGGGUAAUCUGCCCUUAAGUUGGGGAUAGCUCUGCGAAAGCGGAAUUAAUACCGAAUGUUGUCGUGGCGCACAUGCGCCAUUAUCUAAAGCCGGGGACCGCAAGGCCUGACGCUUAAGGAUGAACCCACGUACUAUCAGCUUGUUGGUGAGGUAACGGCUCACCAAGGCUAUGACGGUUAGCUGGUCUGAGAGGAUGGUCAGCCACACUGGGACUGAGACACUGCCCAGACUCCUACGGGAGGCUGCAGUCGAGGAUCAUUCGCAAUGAAUC